GAUGAAGAACGUAGUGAAAUGCGAUAAGUAAUGUGAAUUGCAGAAUUCAGUGAAUCAUCGAAUCUUUGAACGCAUCUUGCGCUCCUUGGUAUUCCUUGGAGCAUGCCUGUUUGAGUAUCAUGAGCAAAUCUCAAAGUCAAUUCCUUUUGUUAAUUCAAUUGGUUUUGCUUUGGACUUGGAGGUCUUGCAGAUUUCACAGUCUGCUCCUCUUAAAUGCAUUAGCUGGAUCUCAGUAAUUAUGCUUGGUUCCACUCGGCGUGAUAAGUAUCACUCGCUGAGGACACUGUUAAAAAGGUGGCCAGGAAAAUACUGAUUGAACCGCUUCUAACGGUCUAUUAAGUUAGACAAUUGACCCCUUAAGUUUGAUCUCAAAUCAGGUAGGACUACCCGCUGAACUUAAGCAUAUCAAUAAGCGGAGGA
rnacentral:misc_RNA from 1 species